rnacentral:rRNA from 1 species
CGGACGGGUGAGUAAUGUCUGGGAAACUGCCUGAUGGAGGGGGAUAACUACUGGAAACGGUAGCUAAUACCGCAUAACGUCGCAAGACCAAAGGAGGGGACCUUAGGGCCUCUUGCCAUCGGAUGUGCCCAGAUGGGAUUAGCUAGUAGGUGGGUAACGGCUCACCUAGGCGACGAUCCCUAGCUGGUCUGAGAGGAUGACCAGCCACACUGGAACUGAGACACGGUCCAG